rnacentral:rRNA from 1 species
GGGGGGGGGGGGGGGGGGGGGUGGGGGGGGCAAGUCGGGCGGGGGCGCGGUGAGAGCUGGCGCGUACGGGUGGCGGGGGGCGGACGGGGGAGGAAUACAGCGGAACCUACUGUUGCGUGGGGGAUAACGUAGGGAAACUUACGCUAAUACCGCAUACGACCUACGGGUGAAAGCAGGGGAUCGUCGGACCUUGCGCGCUUUAAUGAUCAGAUGUCGGAUUAGCUAGUUGGCGGGGUAAAUUCCAACCCAGGCGACGAUCCGGAGCCGGUGUGAGAGGAUGAUCAGCCAAAAUAGAACUGAGACACGGUGCAGACUCAUACGGGAGGCAGCAGUGGGGAAUAUUGGAGAAUGGGCGCAAGCCUGAUCCAGCCAUACCGCGUGGGUGAAGAAGGCCUUCGGGUUGUAAAGCCCUUUUGUUGGGAAAGAAAAGCAGCAGGUUAAUACCCCGCUGUUCUGACGGUACCAAAAGAAUAAGCACCGGCUAACUUCGUG